ACCUGACCCCAUGUCGAACUCAGAAGUGAAACGCCGUAGCGCCGAUGGUAGUGUGGGGUCUCCCCAUGCGAGAGUAGGGAACUGCCAGGC
rnacentral:rRNA from 2 species